ensembl:lncRNA
CAACCCUUAGUUACAGGGGCAAAAUUCCCUCUUUUGGCCAUAUGAGAAUAAUCCUCCUUCCAUAAAUGCCUAAAAAGCAGGAUAACUAUAGGAAACAACUAUGGUCCGACCCUAGAUAACAGACAGUGUAGGACUAUAAUUCCUGAGAGAAGAAAAACAAAGAGCUAAUUUCCUGCAGAAAGAUUUUGAUGAUGAAAAUAAUGGAGAAAGUUGGGGCACUGGAUCCUUUAAAGAAAGAAGAAAAAUGAGCAAGAAAGGGGAACCAGGGAUAUUAGAAAGCUGGCAUCUCCUAAUUUGCUAUUUUUGGUAGGGCCAGAUUUAUGGAAAUAAAUUAAACACAAGUG